rnacentral:tRNA from 1 species
GGGCAGCUAGCUCAGUCGGUAGAGCAUGAGACUCUUAAUCUCAGGGUUGUGGGUUCGAGCCCCAUGUUGGGCG